UACGUAGGGUGCGAGCGUUGUCCGGAAUUAUUGGGCGUAAAGGGCUCGUAGGCGGUCUGUUGCGUCAGGAGUGAAAACUCGGGGCUUAACCCCGAGCCUGCUUCUGAUACGGGCAGACUAGAGGUAUGCAGGGGAGAACGGAAUUCCUGGUGUAGCGGUGAAAUGCGUAGAGAUCAGGAGGAACACCCAUGGCGAAGGCAGCUCUCUGGUCGACCUCUGACGCUGAGACGCGAAAGCGUGGGGAGCGAACGGG
rnacentral:rRNA from 1 species